AGUACAGGAUGGACCCGCGUCUGAUUAGCUAGUUGGUAAGGUAACGGCUUACCAAGGCGACGAUCAGUAGCCGACCUGAGAGGGUGAUCGGCCACAUUGGAACUGAGACACGGUCCAAACUCCUACGGGAGGCAGCAGUGGGGAAUAUUGCACAAUGGGCGAAAGCCUGAUGCAGCAACGCCGCGUGAGCGAUGAAGGCCUUCGGGUCGUAAAGCUCUGUCCUCAAGGAAGAUAAUGACGGUACUUGAGGAGGAAGCCCCGGCUAACUACGUGCCAGCAGCCGCGGUAAUACGUAGGGGGCAAGCGUUAUCCGGAUUUACUGGGCGUAAAGGGUGCGUAGGCGGGAAGCCAAGUC
rnacentral:rRNA from 1 species